AAACAGCCCGAAGCGGGAGGGGAGGAGGCUUACCGGGCUAACUCGCCUCGGCUUGGGGCUGUGUAGGGGCAGCAGGUCAUUUGGCAGUGGUGGGGCAUGCGGCCCCCCAUCUUCCAGGAUGUAGAGUAUAGCGCCACCAGCCUAGAGAUUCUAAGGCUUGGAGACUAAGGAAGACCCUAGCCAGUACAGUACACCUGCUGACAGAGAGUUCACUCUUUCGUUUCCAAGAUGCCACGUUGUGAGUUGCUGAUGAACAACUGGGGCAUCUGGAAGUCUGUUGGUAGUCUGUGACCUCUGACAGCUGCAGGGAAGGAGUCCAGGAUUGUUCAGCAGCCCCUGUCCCCCGCCCCACCCCCAGUCCCCCUAUCGUUGCACACAGAAACUUCCUCCCUCUGGACACUUCUCCAGGCUGGCAGCUGGACCACAACUUUUUCCUGUGCUAAUUAAAACCAAGAUGAUCACUC